rnacentral:tRNA from 1 species
ACUUUUUUAGUAUAAAUUAAUAUAUCUGACUUCCAAUCAGAAGAUCUUUUAAAGAAAAAGUA